rnacentral:rRNA from 2 species
AAAACUUUCAACAACGGAUCUCUUGGUUCUGGCAUCGAUGAAGAACGCAGCGAAAUGCGAUAAGUAAUGUGAAUUGCAGAAUUCAGUGAAUCAUCGAAUCUUUGAACGCACAUUGCGCCCUCUGGUACUCCGGAGGGCAUGCCUGUUCGAGCGUCAUUGC